UGACAAUGAUGAUAACUCUUAAGGCUUGUUUCUCAAAACAUUCGCAGUGGCCGACUAAGAGCUUUUGCCUUUGCCAGGCUUGAGAGCUGUUGCUGCUUUAUCCUUGGAUGUCUGAGACC